rnacentral:rRNA from 1 species
UACGUAGGGUGCGAGCGUUGUCCGGAAUUACUGGGCGUAAAGAGCUCGUAGGCGGUUUGUCGCGUUGUUCGUGAAAACUCACAACUCAAUUGUGGGCGUGCGGGCGAUACGGGCAGACUAGAGUACUGCAGGGGAGACUGGAAUUCCUGGUGUAGCGGUGGAAUGCGCAGAUAUCAGGAGGAACACCGGUGGCGAAGGCGGGUCUCUGGGCAGUAACUGACGCUGAGGAGCGAAAGCGUGGGGAG